rnacentral:lncRNA from 1 species
AGGCGGGCGCAGGCGCAGCGCGAGCUGCAGGUGAUCGCCUCGGGCCCCGCCCACGUUUUCCGCGUCGACAACUUCGAGGCGCUGAGCGGCGUCCAGAGCCAGCUGAGGGAAAAGAUCUUCGCCAUCGAGGGCACGAGCUCCGCCCACGGCAGCUCCUUCCAGCUGGAGAUGGCCCAGGAGGGGUUCAGCGCCAGCCUGACCGCGGCCGGGCCGGUCCUGGGGGCCGUUGGCGCCUUCGAUUGGGCCGGGGGCGCCUUCGCCUACGGGGGAGGGGCGCCCACCUUCCUCAACGGCUCCGGACAACACCUGGGCACACCUGGAGAACACCUGGGCACACCUGGAGAACACCUGGGCGACGCUGCGGAUGCCAGGGAUGCUUACCUGGGUAAGGGGCACACCUGGGAUACACCUGGGGGCACCUGGGAUACAC